rnacentral:rRNA from 1 species
UACGGAAUGUGCAAACGUUAUUCGGAAUCACUGGGCGUAAAGCGCACGUAGGCGGAUGUGUCAGUCAGGGGUGAAAUCCCGGGGCUCAACCUCGGAACUGCCUUUGAUACAGCACGUCUCGAGUCCGGAAGAGGUGGGUGGAAUUCCUAGUGUAGAGGUGAAAUUCGUAGAUAUUAGGAAGAACACCGGUGGCGAAGGCGGCCCACUGGUCCGGUACUGACGCUGAGGUGCGAAAGCCAGGGGAGCAAACGGG